UACGUAGGGUGCGAGCGUUAAUCGGAAUUACUGGGCGUAAAGCGUGCGCAGGCGGUGAUGUAAGACAGGUGUGAAAUCCCCGGGCUUAACCUGGGAACUGCAUUUGUGACUGCAUUGCUGGAGUGCGGCAGAGGGGGGAUGGAAUUCCGCGUGUAGCAGUGAAAUGCGUAGAUAUGCGGAGGAACACCGAUGGCGAAGGCAAUCCCCUGGGCCUGCACUGACGCUCAUGCACGAAAGCGUGGGGAGCAAACAAGGA
rnacentral:rRNA from 1 species